rnacentral:rRNA from 1 species
CAAACGACUCUCGGCAAUGGAUAUCUCCGGCUCUUGCAUCGAUGAAGAACGUAGUGAAAUGCGAUACUUGGUGUGAAUUGCAGAAUCUCGUGAACCAUUGAGUCUUUGAACGCAAGUUGUGCCCGAGGCCUUGUGGCCGAGGGCACGCCUGCUUGGGUGUCAUGG